UUUUCCUACGGGAGGCAGCAGUAGGGAAUCUUCCGCAAUGGACGAAAGUCUGACGGAGCAACGCCGCGUGAGUGAUGAAGGUUUUCGGAUCGUAAAGCUCUGUUGUUAGGGAAGAACAAGUACCGUUCGAAUAGGGCGGUACCUUGACGGUACCUAACCAGAAAGCCACGGCUAACUACGUGCCAGCAGCCGCGGUAAUACGUAGGUGGCAAGCGUUGUCCGGAAUUAUUGGGCGUAAAGGGCUCGCAGGCGGUUCCUUAAGUCUGAUGUGAAAGCCCCCGGCUCAACCGGGGAGGGUCAUUGGAAACUGGGGAACUUGAGUGCAGAAGAGGAGAGUGGAAUUCCACGUGUAGCGGUGAAAUGCGUAGAGAUGUGGAGGAACACCAGUGGCGAAGGCGACUCUCUGGUCUGUAACUGACGCUGAGGAGCGAAAGCGUGGGGAGCGAACAGGAUUAGAUACCCUGGUAGUCCACGCCGUAAACGAUGAGUGCUAAGUGUUAGGGGGUUUCCGCCCCUUAGUGCUGCAGCUAACGCAUUAAGCACUCCGCCU
rnacentral:rRNA from 1 species